UGGGGAAUUUUGGACAAUGGGCGAAAGCCUGAUCCAGCAAUGCCGCGUGUGUGAAGAAGGCCUUCGGGUUGUAAAGCACUUUUGUCCGGAAAGAAAUCCUUGGCUCUAAUACAGUCGGGGGAUGACGGUACCGGAAGAAUAAGCACCGGCUAACUACGUGCCAGCAGCCGCGGUAAUACGUAGGGUGCAAGCGUUAAUUGGAAUUACUGGGCGUAAAGCGUGCGCAGGCGGUUUGCUAAGACCGAUGUGAAAUCCCCGGGCUCAACCUGGGAACUGCAUUGGCGACUGGCAGGCUAGAGUAUGGCAGAGGGGGGUAGAAUUCCACGUGUAGCAGUGAAAUGCGUAGAGAUGUGGAGGAAUACCGAUGGCGAAGGCAGCCCCCUGGGCCAAUACUGACGCUCAUGCACGAAAGCGUGGGGAGCAAAACAGGAUUAGAUACCCCUGGUAGUCCACGCCCUAAACGAUGUCAACUAGUUGUUGGGGAUUCAUUUCCUUAGUAACGUAGCUAACGCGUGAAGUUGACCGCCUGGGGAGUACGGUCGCAAGAUUAAAACUCAAAGGAAUUGACGGGGUCAUAGCUGUUUCCU
rnacentral:rRNA from 1 species